rnacentral:rRNA from 1 species
UGGGGAAUAUUGGGCAAUGGGCGAAAGCCUGACCCAGCAACGCCGCGUGAGGGAAGAAGGCCUUCGGGUUGUAAACCUCUGUCCUAUGGGACGAAAAAAAUGACGGUACCAUAGGAGGAAGCUCCGGCUAACUACGUGCCAGCAGCCGCGGUAAUACGUAGGGAGCGAGCGUUGUCCGGAAUUACUGGGCGUAAAGGGUGCGUAGGCGGCUUAAUAAGUCAGAUGUGAAAGACCGAGGCUCAACCUCGGGAUUGCAUUUGAAACUAUUAGGCUUGAGUGCAGGAGAGGCAAGUGGAAUUCCUAGUGUAGCGGUGAAAUGCGUAGAUAUUAGGAGGAACAUCGGUGGCGAAGGCGGCUUGCUGGACUGUAACUGACGCUGAGGCACGAAAGCGUGGGGAGCAAACA